rnacentral:rRNA from 1 species
CGUGGCCAAACUACCCUAUAGAUCCAGACAACCUCGGGAAACUGAGGCUAAUCCGGAAUAGGGCUCUCAUCCUGGAGUGGAGAGAGCCUGAAACGCUCCGGCGCUAUAGGAUGUGGCUGCGGCCGAUUAGGUAGACGGUGGGGUAACGGCCCACCGUGCCAGUAAUCGGUACGGGUUGUGAGAGCAAGAGCCCGGAGACGGUAUCUGAGACAAGAUACCGGGCCCUACGGGGCGCAGCAGGCGCGAAACCUUUACACUGCACGCCAGUGCGAUAAGGGGACUCCAAGUGCGAGGGCAUAUAGUCCUCGCUUUUUGCGACCGUAAGGUGGUCGCGGAAUAAGUGCUGGGCAAGACCGGUGCCAGCCGCCGCGGUAAUACCGGCAGCACGAGUGAUGACCGCUGUUAUUGGGCCUAAAGCGUCCGUAGCUGGCCGCACAAGUCUAUCGGGAAAUCUCUCCGCUUAACGGAGAGGCGUCCGGUGGAAACUGUGUGGCUUGGGACCGGAAGACCAGAGGGGUACGUCUGGGGUAGGAGUGAAAUCCCGUAAUCCUGGACGGACCACCGGUGGC